ACCAAGCUGUCCCUCUCAGGUGCGGGGGGGGACAGUGGUACCAGAGCCGGGCUGUCGAGUCAAAACAUGUGAUGUGACUGAAGAUUUAUAUAGGAGUCGGAAACAAGACGGGUCAGACACCCCGAGUCCUGCAUCAACCAGACCAGCAGCCAAGAUGAGAUUUUUGGUGUCUCUAUUUGUGGUCCUUUCUGUGGCAGCAUUUCACUCUGCCCUCUCAGCAUCUCUGGAAUCUGCAGAGAAAGAGGAGGAAGUUACUAAUCAUGAUGGGCUGACAUGGGCAGAUGAUCAGCUGCAGGAAAAAG